ensembl:lncRNA
UCAAUGCUGGUUGGUAGUAAGGGAAACAAAGCACACAGAGAAUUGGCUCCUGUUAUUUUUUUCUUCAUGUUGACAGACAUCCUAUUGGAUAAAGACAGUCAUGCCAGGGAAACGGGCAAACGGAGAAGCUCUGAUGUGUUCCUUUACCACAUUCUAUCCUCUCUAUGUCGGUUCAGAGAUGGUGUUGUGUGAUGCCAAUCAUGUCUGAAACUUCCUGUCCUAUCGUCUUGGAAACAAGAGGGCAGGAUGAACCCACAGUGUCCUGACAACGUCUGAUGAAUGUUUUGUGCUAAAGGAGACAGGAAAUACAGGGAGGGGUUGGCUGCGGAGGAAUAGUUGUGAGUAGUCAAAGAAAAAUCAAACAGUACAAUCACAGAAACUCCAUUGCCGACAAUUAUUUUAUAAUUGAUCUGAUUGAAAUGGUUCUAUUUUUGUUGCCGUAGGUAGACAAAAACUCCACAAAAC